rnacentral:piRNA from 1 species
UGCCUCAAUGCUCACUGGAGAGCGUGGUU